ACUUUUUUUUUUUUUUUUUUUUUGCGAGUUUAGGAAUUCAACAAGUAAAAAAGUAGUUCAAGUGUUCAACAGGUCAAUCUCAAAUAGUACAAGAGUGUGAAUAUGCAUUAGGCCAAGGUAAAAUUAGUUAGUUAAGCUCUUUGAUGCUAUGAUCCUCCAUUUGUAAUCAAUGCUAUAAUCAGAUGUGCUAAAAGGAACUAAUUUAUAAAUAUUUGUAAAAUUUGUGGUGCCACAUUGUGUAAUUUCUUUUUAUCAUGUCAUGGGUUUUAUUGUUGUAUCACAAAAAUGAUAAUUUAGCCAUGAAUUUACUUACUUUGCAAUUUCAAAUGUUCUAUUUCACCUAUGUUCAAGUUUUUUAAAAAUUUUUAGUUUCAUAGCUGGAUGCCUGGAUAUGGAGAAAAAGAAAGUGGUAGAUUGAUUAGCAUACUAAUUUUACUUGUUUCAUAAUUUUUUCUAUGCAUGCACAUAUUUGAUCCACAAAAGUUUCAAUUACAAUUCCAUAUUUUUGACACCUGGAGUAUAAAUUGAAAUGUUGUCAAUAAUUGGUUUAUUUUUUUCUGCAACCUAAGGUUUGCUUAGCAUUGCUAUUUGAGCAUUUGUUGAGAAAAACACUACCUUAAAUAUAUUAGCUAGAGACUGUUGAUAAUUAGUUUUAAGUUAAAUUUGACAUGUUU
rnacentral:misc_RNA from 1 species